AAAAAUUGCAUGUUUUUUCAUUUGGUUUUUGAGUUACAAUUAUGAGUAUUUUUCUUAGUUCUCUUGACUAAAAGUCUUGUGGUGUGAUGUGAAAAAUUUGUUGUGCAUUUUUAGUAUGAUAGAAAUGUCUAAACUCUAAAUUGUACAUCAUUUGUGGUAGAUCAAUUAACCUUGUGAGAUUUUGAGCCUUAUAUGGAUAACAUACAAAAAUC
rnacentral:lncRNA from 1 species